rnacentral:rRNA from 1 species
UAGCGGCAGGCCUAAUACAUGCAAGUCGAACGGUAACAGGUGUAGCAAUACAUGCUGACGAGUGGCGCACGGGUGCGUAACACGUAUGCAACCUACCUAUAACUGGGGAAUAGCCCUCCGAAAGGAGGAUUAACACCGCAUAACAUCAUUCCGCGGCAUCGCGGGAUGAUCAAACCUCAGGGGGUUAUAGAUGGGCAUGCGUAACAUUAGCUAGUUGGUGAGGUAACGGCUCACCAAGGCUACGAUGUUUAGGGGGUCUGAGAGGAUGAUCCCCCACACUGGUACUGAGACACGGACCAGACUCCUACGGGAGGCAGCAGUAAGGAAUAUUGGACAAUGGGGGCAACCCUGAUCCAGCCAUGCCGCGUGAAGGAUGACGGCCCUCUGGGUUGUAAACUUCUUUUGUACGGGAAUAAACCCCUCUACGUGUAGAGGGUUGAAUGUACCGUAAGAAUAAGGAUCGGCUAACUUCGUGCCAGCAGCCGCGGUAAUACGAAGGAUCCAAGCGUUAUCCGGAUUUAUUGGGUUUAAAGGGUGCGUAGGCGGGCUAUUAAGUCAGUGGUGAAAGCCUGCAGCUUAACUGCAGAAUUGCCAUUGAUACUGAUGGUCUUGAGUACACUUGAGGUGGGCGGAAUGUGUCAUGUAGCGGUGAAAUGCUUAGAUAUGACACAGAACACCGAUUGCGAAGGCAGCUCACUAAAUUGUAACUGACGCUGAGGCACGAAAGCGUGG